GGACGGCUGCAAGGAAGCACACAGGGGAGUGGGCCGCAGCUGCCGCCUGGGUCCCCAGCUCCUGCGGUCAGGAGGGCCGGGGAUGGGACUGCCUGUUGCACGGAGAAGAAAGAGACCACCCGGAGCUGGGAGACCCCACCGGGGCAUGCCUGCGUGGUGGCAAAGCCGACCCUGGAACCUUGCCUGCUGAGAGGGCGCCAGGGCCACUGCUCCAAGAACUCUCCCUGCCUGCCUGUGCUGAAGGUGUCACCCAAGCAUCGCCUUUGGGGACAACCUCCCCCAGGGUCGGGGAAGGCCAGAAGAAGCCUGGAGGAAGGGACCACGCCCCCAGCGCUCUGGGCAGACUGCAGCUGCCAGGCAGGUGCCCUUCACCAGCACAGUGCUGGCCCCUUGGCACAAGCUGAGGGGAACCUCUUCAGCUGGCACACCUGCCCCCAGUCACUUAACAUCAAGUUUUAUGACACUUCCAGAUACACAACCCUUGCCCUUGACCCAAUCUCAGAAAGCCAGAAUGGGGUCUCCUUGCCCAGGUGCAGUGCCCUUCAAGGGGGCCACAGCAUCCCCUCCAGAGUCCAGGAUCCUUGUGCUGCCCACCUGCCAGGCUGCCUCGCCCUAUCCUCCUGACCCUCUCCAAGUCCCCAGGUCACUGCCCCCCCCACCCCACUCUAUUCUACUAUUCCCCUGAGUGCAGGGGCUCCCAAACUGGAGCAGGUAUCAGAAUCCCCUGGAGGGCUUGUCAAACACGCACUGCUAGGCCUCACCCCCGUUUCCCACCCAGGGAACACACUUCGAGAAUCCCUGCCUUAGUAAAUGUUAACAGAUGUUAUUUCUGCAGGAUAUUAAGAGGUAUUUUUUUCAAAAGAAGGACAUGCUUUAACAAAAAGGGGGGGGGGGUUGCUAAAAUAUGUGAAACACUCGGUCAAGAAGUCUCCUUAUUGGAGGCCUUUUCCGAUCCUUUCAUCUACAAAUUGUGGGUGUGUGCGCAUGCCUGCGGACUGGUUUCCUAACAACUCACUACAGGACCCUCUAGCUGGUGCAUCUCAAAUCAGCAGAGGCCCCUGGGACCUACCUGGGGGAAUUUUGGGGCGGGGGGGAGUGGGCACACUGUCAUUUCGGGGAGUAAGUGCAGAGGUCUCUACUGCACUAGUCUUCACUCAAGGUAAACGUGGCCUUCCUCCCUCCCCACGGUCAGAACACAGCACCUUCUCCUUGGGCCCAUACCCUACACCCCCGGCGGCUGCCUGGCCCGGAGCUCUCCCAAGAAAGAAGCUUGUCUGUCCCGACUGCAGGUGAAGAAGAUGUGAUACAGGUGGACUCAGUGGCUUCAGCAGCCAUGAGGACACGUCCCCAGGGAAGGCUGAGUGGUCAGCACCUGCCCGCUUAGCUCUCGGCCCACCCACCAUUUGUCCUGGCCUCCCAUGCUGGCUGGCUUCUCUCAAGGUCUCUGGGGGCCCCUCCCGUCCCCUCCCGUGCCCAGGCUUGGCUCAGCACGAUGGGAAGAGGCAGGCAUGGCUGGGCGCGCCAUCAAACGCCAUCCAACUCACCCUUCUGGGGUGAGGAAGUGGCGGAUUUUCCCAUAUUUUCACUUCAGCUGUUCCUGGGCAUCCUGAACUUUGCACUCCAGUCUGAGGGCUCCAAAGAAAGGCUGCCAUGGCAACCGUUUCCAUGUUUUUGUCACCAAGGGACUCAACACUCAGUGUGAACUCUGGGGGGGGGGGGAGGUCCUUCAGCCUGGAGAAGUGGCUGGGCUGUGUGUGUUUGACUGUGCAGACGGGGGUCACCGUGGCAACUGCGUGCCCCUCAGCUAAGCAAAGGGGGAGCCGCCCCCAGCAUCCCCGAGAGCCCCGGUUUCCUCUCCUCCUGGUGGCUGAGCUGAAUACAGAAUGAACAUGCCCCACGCUGUGGCUCUCUUCCUGCAUGGGACCUCAGCCCUCUGGCUCAGCAGUGGGGGGGGUGCUGAGGAUGCUGCACAAGGCACCUCUGGCUGGGGCCCCCGGACAACGCGGCUUUGACCAUCUGCUGGGGUGAAGAGCUGAACUGUGCACCCCCACCCCCACAUCCUGACAGCACAUGAACACAGUGACGUCCCAACCCCGGUUCUCUCAGAACGCGACAAUUUGGAGAGUCUGGAAGCGUUAAUGACGUUCAGAGGAAGUUACCGGGUGGACCCUGACCCACCGUGACUGGCAUCCUCCUACCACGAGAUGAGGACACAGACACGCAAGGAUGGAGAAGACAGCCGCCCGCAGCCAGGGAGAAAGUCGGAGAAGCCGAGGCCGACCACACCUUGAUCCCGGCCUCCAGCCUCCAGGACUGGGAGGCCAGGCGUUUCUGCGGUUUAAGCCCCUCGGGCUGCGGUGCUCUGUUCCGGCAGCGGGCGAAAACUCAGGCAGUUGGAGCAGAGACUCAGGAUCCUGGACCUCAGCUCAGAGACAGGCGGGAGGCAGAGCUGGUGAGAUAUCCCGCCGCUGUGUGGACAAGAGGCCACAGAGAGCCAGCUGGACAAGGGCAGGCCCUCCAGGGGCCCUUCGGGAAUGUGGUCCUUCACAGCAGGAGGCCUGGAGCUCCCCCUCUCCCAGGCAGGGCAUUCAGAGCAGCCCCCGCCCCUGAAGGGGACCCACCCAUCACCCAGGACACAGCCUGGAGGCAGACCUGGCCCUGCACACCUUGCCGUCCUCAAGAUUCCGGGGACCAAAGCAGCGGACACAGCUCCAGCCCUGGCCCAAGAGACCGAGAAGGGUCAGCUCUGGGCCCUUCAAGAACCUGGCCUUGCCACCACCUCGGACUGGACGUUGUCAGAGCGUCACCCUGCAGGAUGGCUGAGGCUCACCCACACCACACUUGCCCAGCCCCUCAAAGUCCAACCACCCUCCACGGAUGGAACCUGCUUCUCCAAGGACAGCCAGAGAAAGGGUCUCGAGCCCUGAAACAGGGACCAAAGCAGGAACCCAGGCCAGAUCCCUGCGGGGGAGGCACCUGUCCCAGGGAUGCCCCGCAGUCGGCCGCCAGCACAUGCCCUCUGAGGAAUCAAUCCAGCAGCAGGGAGCCUCUGAAAGGCGUUCUGACCUCAGGGCACGCCUGCCCUCACCUCCCAUCCCCGCCUGAGACCCCCACUGGCAGGUUGAGUGGCAGAUGUGUUUGUGGGAAGACCUCAGGCAGAGUGACGGUGCUGGGGUCCUUGUGCCAAAGGUGCUAACCCCUGGGGAGCAGGUGACAGGACCGACGAAAUGCACCCCGCUGGGGAAGGACGGCAGCCGCAGCGCCUGGGAGAAGCUCUCUGGGAUCCCCAAGCCAAGGCGCUGGUAAGCGGGGAGAAGCCAAGUGCUGCCUGGCCGCAGGGGAACAGCCUGGGGUCCCGGGCACCCUGGACAGAUCCCUGCUUCCCCCAAACCCCCACUCGGAGCCUCAGUGUCCCCGUCUGUGAAAUGGGAGGAGGCACCUUUCAUCACAUGGCCUUCCCUACCCACACCUCCUUCCUAAAAGCGGGACGUCAGAGGAGAGGAAGCUCCAGGGAUGGGGACAGGUGGGGCCUGGAGCUGCCCAGACCCCAGGGCAGGCCCCUGUGGAGCCCAGCACCCCACAGCUGCUGGGGCGCUCGAGAGGAGAAAUCCGGGCUCCACGCUCCCCUGUCUGUGGGCAUGGGGAGGCCCUGCAGCACAGCCCACCCCCCGCCCGUGGCAGGACGCCCUGGUCCGUGCAGCGGUCUGCGGGCUCAGGGGCUCUUGUCGAGCUAUCACAGGCGUGCUGGCCCCCCCUGCCCGACGUGGUGGUCAUCGCAUUCUGCGACCUCAGGCUGACUCAGGCUGCCCCAGCUCCACAUCUGGCUUCCAUAUGGGGCUGGCACUCUAAGGGGGGGAGGUCACAUCUGGCUGGGGAAAUCAGAGGAUCCCCAGGGGGCCGGUGACCCCUGGGGAAGGGUCAGUGAGCCGCUGAACCACCACGCCGUGUGCCGCUGGCUGGUUGCCACUCGCAGCCACCAUGACCAGCUGCCUCCCAGCUCAGCCCAUGACCAUGCCAAGUGCCUGGCUCCCCAGCCAGCUGGCCCUUGGGGGACAGCCCUCAGGGGGCUCCUCCAACAUCUGCACCCCACUCACCCCAAGGCCUAAAGUCACAACCUCCUGGAGACGCAGGAGCCUGCCCUGUGCUGCGCACGGGCAAGGGCUGAUCCUGAUCCGGAAGAGCUACUGACCCCGAGGUCGAAAAAAGGAAGGGCAGGGGGUGUCAAGACGGGCAAAGCCAUCAUUUGCCGAGGCCUGAGCUGUAAGACUCUCCCUGCCACCCAGCGCAUCAGAUCCCGGCCUGAGCAGCUAGACGGGAGCCGGCAGACCGCCGCGCCCGAGAAUCUACAGCAGCUCCACGGGAACCUGCAGUGGCUCCAGCGCCAGCUCCACCUCCUCCGCACCCACCUCCCUGCCGGCUGGGUCUCCCCACCCUCCAUCAUGGACCUUCCGUGACCUGCCUCCCCCUGCUCCCAGUCAGCCCGCCUCUGGGGCAUCACCUGCACCCCAUCUACCAUCUUGGCUCCACCACCUCGGACAGCCCCGCCACCGCGACAGUCACGUGGCCACCCCUGCUCCUCCCCUAGGAGGUCUCCUUGGGGCUUAUCAGGAGCUGGGAGCCCAGGGUCCUGUGGGGGAGUUGGUCCUUGAGGCUUCUGAGGAAGACCGUGCCCCCUCUGCUGCCAGAGGCUCAGCGCCUGGCAUGGGCGGUGGGGUGGGAGGAGGGCUCUCAGGCUUUGGCGGCCCUGGUCUCUGGCAUGUUCUUGACCAUGUGGAGUCGCAGCAUUCCAUCGGCAGGAAGAAAAAGCCCUCCCUCGCCGGUGGUUCUGGGGCUUCACUAAGGGUGAGCGGAGGCUGGGAGGUGCCGUCCAGGGCCUGGCACGGCCUCUGCACUAGGGGUUCUGCUGCCCUGAGAGCACAAGGUACUUGGUGGGGGUACCACUGUAAAGCACAACUGCGCUGCAGUCCCCAGGCCCACCUCUGCCAGGGACCCCAGGAGAGCACACGCGUGCACACACACAUGCACACACUCAGCCUGACAAACCCAGCUUCGCCCCACACAUGCCCACAGAGCUCCUGCUCUGAGCUGGAUCCUCAGAAACCACCCUGGAGGGCUCUCGAGAGGAUUGCUCGGGGCCAAUCAUCUUAGGAAAAGCAUUCUGAUUUUUCCAUCCGGUGGUGCCAAGAUGUCUUUCAACAAAAGGGGUGACUAAUAAACAUUUCUGGGAACGAA